rnacentral:rRNA from 1 species
AGGUAAGCUACUAAGAGCGAAUGGUGGAUGCCUUGACUGGUAAAGGCGAUGAAGGACGUACUAGACUGCGAUAAGCUACGGGGAGCUGUCAAGAAGCUUUGAUCCGUAGAUUUCCGAAUGGGGCAACCCAAUGUAUAGAGAUAUACAUUACCUAUAUAGGAGCGAACGAGGGGAAUUGAAACAUCUUAGUACCCUCAGGAAAAGAAAUCAAUAGAGAUUGCGUCAGUAGCGGCGAGCGAAAGCGCAAGAGGGCAAACCCAGUGCUUGCACUGGGGGUUGUAGGACUGCAAUAUGCAAGAGGUAAGUUUAGCAGAACAUUCUGGAAAGUAUAACCAUAGAGGGUGAUAGUCCCGUAUGCGAAAAACAAACCUUAGCUAGCAGUAUCCUGAGUAGGGCGGGACACGAGGAAUCCUGUCUGAAUCCGGGUCGACCACGAUCCAACCCUAAAUACUAAUACCAGAUCGAUAGUGCACAAGUACCGUGAGGGAAAGGUGAAAAGAACUGAGGUGAUCAGAGUGAAAUAGAACCUGAAACCAUUUGCUUACAAUCAUUCAGAGCCCUAUGUAGCAAUACAGGGUGAUGGACUGCCUUUUGCAUAAUGAGCCUGCGAGUUGUGGUGUCUGGCAAGGUUAAGCAAACGCGAAGCCGUAGCGAAAGCGAGUCUGAAUAGGGCGCUUAGUCAGAUGCUGCAGACCCGAAACGAAGUGAUCUAUCCAUGAGCAAGUUGAAGCUAGUGUAAGAACUAGUGGAGGACUGAACCCAUAGGCGUUGAAAAGCCCCGGGAUGACUUGUGGAUAGGGGUGAAAGGCCAAUCAAACUUCGUGAUAGCUGGUUCUCUCCGAAAUAUAUUUAGGUAUAGCGUUGUGUCGUAAUAUAAGGGGGUAGAGCACUGAAUGGGCUAGGGCAUACACCAAUGUACCAAACCCUAUCAAACUCCGAAUACCUUAUAUGUAAUCACAGCAGUCAGGCGGCGAGUGAUAAAAUCCGUCGUCAAGAGGGAAACAACCCAGACUACCAGCUAAGGUCCCUAAGUCUUACUUAAGUGGAAAACGAUGUGAAGUUACUUAAACAACCAGGAGGUUGGCUUAGAAGCAGCCAUCCUUUAAAGAAAGCGUAAUAGCUCACUGGUCUAGUGAUUUUGCGCGGAAAAUAUAACGGGGCUAAAGUAAGUACCGAAGCUGUAGACUUAGUUUACUAAGUGGUAGGAGAGCGUUCUAUUUGCGUCGAAGGUAUACCGGUAAGGAGUGCUGGAGCGAAUAGAAGUGAGCAUGCAGGCAUGAGUAGCGAUAAUUAAUGUGAGAAUCAUUAACGCCGUAAACCCAAGGUUUCCUACGCGAUGCUCGUCAUCGUAGGGUUAGUCGGGUCCUAAGUCGAGUCCGAAAGGGGUAGACGAUGGCAAAUUGGUUAAUAUUCCAAUACCAACAUUAGUGUGCGAUGGAAGGACGCUUAGGGCUAAGGGGGCUAGCGGAUGGAAGUGCUAGUCUAAGGUCGUAGGAGGUUAUACAGGCAAAUCCGUAUAACAAUACUCCGAGAACUGAAAGGCUUUUUGAAGUCUUCGGAUGGAUAGAAGAACCCUGAUGCCGUCGAGCCAAGAAAAGUUUCUAAGUUUAGCUAAUGUUGCCCGUACCGUAAACCGACACAGGUGGGUGGGAUGAGUAUUCUAAGGCGCGUGGAAGAACUCUCUUUAAGGAACUCUGCAAAAUAGCACCGUAUCUUCGGUAUAAGGUGUGGUUAGCUUUGUAUUAGGAUUUACUCUGAAAGCAAGGAAACUUACAACAAAGAGUCCCUCCCGACUGUUUACCAAAAACACAGCACUCUGCUAACUCGUAAGAGGAUGUAUAGGGUGUGACGCCUGCCCGGUGCUCGAAGGUUAAUUGAUGGGGUUAGCAUUAGCGAAGCUCUUGAUCGAAGCCCGAGUAAACGGCGGCCGUAACUAUAACGGUCCUAAGGUAGCGAAAUUCCUUGUCGGUUAAAUACCGACCUGCAUGAAUGGCGUAACGAGAUGGGAGCUGUCUCAAAGAGGGAUCCAGUGAAAUUGUAGUGGAGGUGAAAAUUCCUCCUACCCGCGGCAAGACGGAAAGACCCCGUGGACCUUUACUACAGCUUGACACUGCUACUUGGAUAAGAAUGUGCAGGAUAGGUGGGAGGCUUUGAGUAUAUGACGCCAGUUGUAUAUGAGCCAUUGUUGAGAUACCACUCUUUCUUAUUUGGGUAGCUAACCAGCUUGAGUUAUCCUCAAGUGGGACAAUGUCUGGUGGGUAGUUUGACUGGGGCGGUCGCCUCCCAAAUAAUAACGGAGGCUUACAAAGGUUGGCUCAGAACGGUUGGAAAUCGUUCGUAGAGUAUAAAGGUAUAAGCCAGCUUAACUGCAAGACAUACAAGUCAAGCAGAGACGAAAGUCGGUCUUAGUGAUCCGGUGGUUCUGUGUGGAAGGGCCAUCGCUCAAAGGAUAAAAGGUACCCCGGGGAUAACAGGCUGAUCUCCCCCAAGAGCUCACAUCGACGGGGAGGUUUGGCACCUCGAUGUCGGCUCAUCGCAUCCUGGGGCUGGAGCAGGUCCCAAGGGUAUGGCUGUUCGCCAUUUAAAGCGGUACGCGAGCUGGGUUCAGAACGUCGUGAGACAGUUCGGUCCCUAUCUGCCGUGGGCGUAAGAAGAUUGAAGAGAUUUGACCCUAGUACGAGAGGACCGGGUUGAACAAACCACUGGUGUAGCUGUUGUUCUGCCAAGAGCAUCGCAGCGUAGCUAAGUUUGGAAAGGAUAAACGCUGAAAGCAUCUAAGCGUGAAGCCAACUCUAAGAUGAAUCUUCUCUAAGCUCUCUAGAAGACUACUAGUUUGAUAGGCUGGGUGUGUAAUGGAUGAAAGUCCUUUAGCUGACCAGUACUAAUAGAGCGUUUGGCUUAUCUUU